UACGAAGGGGGCUAGCGUUGCUCGGAUUGACUGGGCGUAAAGGGCGCGUAGGCGGUUCGUACAGUCAGACGUGAAAUUCCUGGGCUCAACCUGGGGGCUGCGUUUGAUACGUGCGGGCUUGAGUUCGGAAGAGGGUCGCGGAAUUCCCGGUGUAGAGGUGAAAUUCGUAGAUAUCGGGAGGAACACCAGUGGCGAAGGCGGCGACCUGGGCCAAUAUUGACGCUGAGGUGCGAAAGCGUGGGGAGCAAACAGG
rnacentral:rRNA from 1 species